AACAAACGCUGGCGGCAGGCCUAACACAUGCAAGUCGAGCGAAGCCUUCGGGCUUAGCGGCGGACGGGUGAGUAACGCGUGGGAACGUGCCCUUUGGUACGGAAUAGCCCCGGGAAACUGGGAGUAAUACCGUAUGUGGUCGAGAGACGAAAGAUUUAUCGCCAAAGGAUCGGCCCGCGUUGGAUUAGGUAGUUGGUGGGGUAAUGGCCUACCAAGCCGACGAUCCAUAGCUGGUUUGAGAGGAUGAUCAGCCACACUGGGACUGAGACACGGCCCAGACUCCUACGGGAGGCAGCAGUGGGGAAUCUUAGACAAUGGGGAAACCCUGAUCUAGCCAUGCCGCGUGAUCGAUGAAGGCCUUAGGGUUGUAAAGAUCUUUCAGUGGGGAAGAUAAUGACUGUACCCACAGAAGAAGCCCCGGCUAACUCCGUGCCAGCAGCCGCCGUAACAC
rnacentral:rRNA from 1 species